AGGGAAUUUUCCACAAUGGACGAAAGUCUGAUGGAGCAACGCCGCGUGAACGAUGAAGGUCUUCGGAUUGUAAAGUUCUGUUGUCAGGGACGAACAAGUACCGUUCGAACAGGGCGGUACCUUGACGGUACCUGACGAGAAAGCCACGGCUAACUACGUGCCAGCAGCCGCGGUAAUACGUAGGUGGCAAGCGUUGUCCGGAAUUAUUGGGCGUAAAGCGCGCGCAGGCGGCUAUGUAAGUCUGGUGUUAAAGCCCGGGGCUCAACCCCGGUUCGCAUUGGAAACUGCGUAGCUUGAGUGCAGAAGAGGAAAGCGGUAUUCCACGUGUAGCGGUGAAAUGCGUAGAGAUGUGGAGGAACACCAGUGGCGAAGGCGGCUUUCUGGUCUGUAACUGACGCUGAGGCGCGAAAGCGUGGGGAGCAAAC
rnacentral:rRNA from 1 species